rnacentral:rRNA from 1 species
UACGGAGGGUGCAAGCGUUAUCCGGAUUUACUGGGUUAAAGGGUGCGCAGGCGGAUAUGUAAGUCAGUGGUGAAAUCUCUAGGCUUAACCUGGAAAUUGCCGUUGAUACUAUAUAUCUUGAAUGCUGUGGAGGUAAGCGGAAUAUGUCAUGUAGCGGUGAAAUGCUUAGAUAUGACAUAGAACACCUAUUGCGAAGGCAGCUUACUACGCAGAUAUUGACGCUCAUGCACGAAAGCGUGGGAUCAAACAG